CUAAUCAGUUGUUGUAUUCGACUGUAUUUACGGCGUGAAAUAGGGGAUUACACUGUUUUAAAAACGGAAAGUGGAUCAAUUAACAUAACAUACUCCU
rnacentral:pre_miRNA from 1 species